UACGAAGGGGGGCUAGCGUUGCUCGGAAUCACUGGGGCGUAAAAGGGUGCGUAGGCGGAUCGUUAAGUCGGGGGGUGAAAUCCUGGAGCUCAACUCCAGAACUGCCUUCGAUACUGGCGAUCUUGAGUCCGGAAGAGGUGAGUGGAACUCCUAGUGUAGAGGUGGAAUUCGUAGAUAUUAGGAAGAACACCAGUGGCGAAGGCGGCUCACUGGUCCGGUACUGACGCUGAGGUGCGAAAGCGUGGGGGAGCAAACAGG
rnacentral:rRNA from 1 species